rnacentral:rRNA from 1 species
GACGAACGCUGGCGGCGUGCUUAACACAUGCAAGUCGAACGGAAAGGGACGGAAGCUUGCGUCUGCUCAUGUGGCUAACGGAUGAGUGAGUAACGAGUAACCUACCCUCGCCUCUGGGGUAGCUUCAGGAAACUAAGGCUUAUUAAUGAUACGAACUCCUUCUGCAUGGCAUGGAGUGGAGAGUUUCGGCGGCUUGGGCUGGUCAUCCGUCAGAUUAGCUAGGUGGUGGGGUAGCGUACCACGAAGGCGAGGUCCAGUAGCCGGCCUGAGAGGAUGACCGGCCACAUUGGGACGGAGACACGGCCCAGACUCCUACGGGAGGCAGCAGUGGGGAAUCUUCCGCAAUGGACGAGAGUCUGACGGAGCAACGCCGCGUGAGUGAUGACGGCCUUCGGGUUGUAAAGCUCCGUUAAUCGGGACGAAAGGCCUUCUUGCGAAUAGUGAGAAGGAUUGACGGUACCGGAAUAGAAAGCCACGGCUAACUACGUG